rnacentral:rRNA from 1 species
AGAGUUGAUCAUGGCUCAGGAUGAACGCUAGCGACAGGCUUAACACAUGCAAGUCGAGGGGCAGCAUAAAAGUAGCAAUACUUGGUGGCGACCGGCGCACGGGUGAGUAACGCGUAUGCAACCUACCUAUCAGGAGGGGAAUAACCCGGCGAAAGUCGGACUAAUACCGCAUAAAACAGGGGCACCGCAUGGUGAUAUUUGUUAAAGAAAUUCGCUGAUAGAUGGGCAUGCGUUCCAUUAGGUAGUUGGUGAGGUAACGGCUCACCAAGCCGACGAUGGAUAGGGGAACUGAGAGGUUGGUCCCCCACACUGGUACUGAGACACGGACCAGACUCCUACGGGAGGCAGCAGUGAGGAAUAUUGGUCAAUGGGCGGGAGCCUGAGCCAGCCAAGUCGCGUGAAGGAAGAAGGAUCUAUGGUUCGUAAACUUCUUUUGCAGGGGAAUAAAGUGCAGGACGCGUCCUGUUUUGUAUGUACCCUGAGAAUAAGGAUCGGCUAACUCCGUGCCAGCAGCAGC